rnacentral:rRNA from 1 species
UACGUAGGGUGCAAGCGUUAAUCGGCAUUACUGGGCGUAAAGCGUGCGCAGGCGGCUUUGCAAGUCAGAUGUGAAAUCCCCGGGCUCAACCUGGGAACUGCAUUUGUGACUGCAUGGCUAGAGUACGGGAGAGGGGGGUGGAAUUCCUCGUGUAGCAGUGAAAUGCGUAGAUAUGCGGAGGAACACCGAUGGCGAAGGCAAUCCCCUGGACCUGUACUGACGCUCAUGCACGAAAGCGUGGGGAGCAAACAGG